UUUGAACGUGACUACUAGUCAAAAGAGCCAUCAACAAGAUGGAAACUCACUCAACAAUGGAAGAACCCAAACAUAAUCACUAUGAUCGUCAUCUCGGGAAACUCCCUCUCACAUUCUCAUAUCUUCCCUAACAAUCUCCUAACGAACCCUUAAAUUCUCUAAAACGUUUAUGGCGCUUAACUAAUUGAAUAUUGGAUUGUCAAAUUCAUCCACCACCUCCACAAAGCGACGCUCAACACUCACGCUACGCUGAUAGGAAAGCAUGUGCAGCCUGGAGCAAAUGGAACAAAAGAUGCAACACUGCUGACAUUGCUACAACUAGAGGUGAACAUAGCAUCAACCAUAUCUGCUAUCGGAUAAUCAGUACUAUAUUCUGAAGUAGAGGGCCCAACACCGCCACCAGUGCUACCAGAACCGCUAAGCUGCUGGACAAGGUUCUUGAAAGAUUGCCCUGAAACUGAAGAUGAUGAUGGAGAAAACUGGAGGGACAUGGUGGGUUGAGUCAUGUAUUUUGAGAUAUCCACUUGUUGUGAUGGUAGAAGCAACGAUGGUUCUGCUAAGGACAUGUAGCAGGUAUGUUCAUUUCGGUAUGUUACUUCAUAUAUUUCCGGAGUGUCAUCAAGUCGUUGUACUCGCUUCUUGGCUAGGCACUUCUGACGGGUGCACCGGUAGUAAUUUCUGGAAAGGAAGAAACAUUUCAAACCAUGAAAGGAAAUAUAUAAUUGAAAAUGGGCUAUUAGUCUUCUGCUAUCAAUUUGUCAUUAAGUAGUCAAUUUAAUGUGAAGGGGCACCAAUAUAUUCAUAACGUGAGCAUGAAUUUGACAUUUCUGAGACUUGUUACAGAUUUUUAGAUUUGGAAUGUGCAAAUUUAAUACAAAGGUCACUUUGAAUUGAGACUCUUAAAUUCUA